GACGAACGCUGGCGGCGUGCUUAACACAUGCAAGUCACGGGGGGUAGCAAUACCAACCGGCGAACGGGUGCGUAACACGUGAGCAAUCUGCCGAUGCCUGGGGGAUAGCCGGCCCAACGGCCGGGUAAUACCGCAUACGCUUGCUUUGAGGAGUCUCGAGGCAAGGAAACCUCCGGGGGACAUCGAGGAGCUCGCGGCCU
rnacentral:rRNA from 1 species